AUGGGGCCUUGAAAUUCUGCAUUUCUAACAAGUUCUCAGGUGAU
rnacentral:miRNA from 1 species